rnacentral:rRNA from 1 species
AUUGAACGCUGGCGGCAUGCCUUACACAUGCAAGUCGAACGGCAGCGGACCUUCGGGUGCCGGCGAGUGGCGAACGGGUGAGUAAUGCAUCGGAACGUGCCAUUGAGUGGGGGAUAACGUAGCGAAAGUUACGCUAAUACCGCAUAUUCUGUGAGCAGGAAAGCAGGGGACCGCAAGGCCUUGCGCUCUUUGAGCGGCCGAUGUCAGAUUAGCUAGUUGGUGAGGUAAAGGCUUACCAAGGCGACGAUCUGUAGCGGGUCUGAGAGGAUGAUCCGCCACACUGGAACUGAGACACGGUCCAGACUCCUACGGGAGGCAGCAGUGGGGAAUUUUGGACAAUGGGCGCAAGCCUGAUCCAGCCAUGCCGCGUGAGUGAAGAAGGCCUUCGGGUU